rnacentral:rRNA from 1 species
GCAGCAGCCGCGGGAAUACGUAGGUCCCGAGCGUUGUCCGGAUUUAUUGGGCGUAAAGCGGGCGCAGGCGGUUAGAUAAGUCUGAAGUUAAAGGCUGUGGCUUAACCAUAGUACGCUUUGGAAACUGUUUAACUUGAGUGCAGAAGGGGAGAGUGGAAUUCCAUGUGUAGCGGUGAAAUGCGUAGAUAUAUGGAGGAACACCGGUGGCGAAAGCGGCUCUCUGGUCUGUAACUGACGCUGAGGCUCGAAAGCGUGGGGAGCAAACAGGAUUAGAUACCCCUGUAGUCCCUGUCUCUUAUACA